rnacentral:rRNA from 1 species
UGGGGAACAUUGGACAAUGGGCGAAAGCCUGAUCCAGCCAUGCCGCGUGUGUGAAGAAGGUCCUCGGAUUGUAAAGCACUUUAAGUUGGGAGGAAGGGCAUUAACCUAAUACGUUGGUGUCUUGACGUUACCGACAGAAUAAGCACCGGCUAACUCUGUGCCAGCAGCCGCGGUAAUACAGAGGGUGCAAGCGUUAAUCGGAAUUACUGGGCGUAAAGCGCGCGUAGGUGGUUUGUUAAGUCGAAUGUGAAAUCCCCGGGCUCAACCUGGGAACUGCAUCCAAAACUGGCAAGCUGGGGAAUGGUGGAGGGUAGUGGAGUUUCCUGGGUAACGGUGAAAGGCGUGAAUAUAGGAAGGAAAACCAGUGGCGAAGGCGACUACCUGGACAGAUACUGACACUAGGGUGCGAAAGCGUGGGGGGCAAACA